AUGCAAGUAUAAUGUAAUAGUCAUCAUUGAUAGGCCAUUAUUAAGUUUGAUGAAAUAGUCAUCAUUGAUAGGCCAAUUGCGAUUAGAUUCUUGAGUUAAAACAGGGAUGGUUCUUUAAGCUUCAUCAUGUGAUAGUCAUAUGAAAGUUGCCUAAGAUCAAAUGCGAAAGGCACAGCCAAGAAUCAAAGUGGAGGGAUGCUUUUCAAGACUAUUCAUCAUAAUGAUCAUACCCGAAUGGAGAUCAACGACAGCGUGAGUGACGACCCCCAAUAAUUCAUCGGUUGGUGGUUCGACUUUUUCAAUAAUACCACGUAAUCGCUCGAACUGUCUUAUCAGAUGUCUGUUGGUAUGAGGAGUCGAUUUCGCAUGGUCCCGACAUCCUUUGAUAGUAUACUGUUUGUGGUAAUACCCCCUCCUCAAAUUCCAUGAAUCAAGACCAUACCAUAUGCCACAUGACUUGUUCCCAUCAUAUUUUUGCCAUAUUUUUUUGUUUCUUCUCAUUUAUCACUGCUGAAGAUGGAUGGUAGGCCUUUGUUUUGCAGGCUGUUCGAGAUUUCAGCCUAACAUUAUCUUCUUGGCCUAUAAUAAUGUACCUCUGUUGUGUUCAGUCUUCUUGAUUCUUUUCCCUGUUCUUGAUUUUUUUAUUUUUGUUUGUGUUUCUUUGUUGUUUUUUGUGCAGAAUCCACCUGUAAAAACACCACAUCAGAUAGAGGUCAGUUCUGGAACUAUCCAUUCUGAAUCUUUACUCGUUUCUUGCUGCUAUGAGUUCUUUUUCUAGAAUAGGUCGAAGUAAAAGUAGAACGACUGGUUUAGAUAUCUCGAUAUCUUCGAAUCAUUGAAAGUUUUUUUUUUUAAAGUUCUAGAAGAGAGUGGGUGGGGAGCGUACAAGAUCCAAAUUUCUGACUACUCGAUCAAGAAUAUGUUGAAUACAUAUCCUAACCAUAGGUCGAAGUAAAAGUAGAACGACAGAUUUAGACAUCUCGAUAUCUUUGAAUCAUUGAAAGUUUUUUUUUCAAGUUCUAGAAGACGUGGGUAGGGAGUGUGCAGGAUUCAAAUCUCUGACUACUCGAUCGAGAAUAAUCGAGUACAUAUCUUAAGUUGUUGUAGGUUAGUUGACUCAUUGAACUUUGCGAAUGUAUAUGGAUAUACAAAUAGGUUUAUUAGGCAUUUUAAAACGUAGAAUAUAUGUCUUAACCCGUUAUUAAAGUUAGUUGAGUCAUUGAACUUCGGGUAUAUAUGGACUCACGCAGGAUUAUUAGACAUAUUUCGAAGUUUGUGUAUGCAUACAUGCAUGCAUAUGAUACGAACAUCGAGUUACGUACAAGAAUAUGGCAAUUAUUUUGUUUCCUUUUGUCUUGAAAGAUAUAUCCAAAGGCUAUCUAGUUUAAGUUAAGUAACGGUUGUAAUCUUGAUGAUAAA